rnacentral:rRNA from 1 species
AGUGAACGCUGGCGGUAGGCCUAACACAUGCAAGUCGAACGGCAGCACAGUAAGAGCUUGCUCUUACGGGUGUCGAGUGGCGGACGGGUGAGGUAUACAUCGGAAUCUACUUUUUCGUGGGGGAUAACGUAGGGAAACUUACGCUAAUACCGCAUACGACCUACGGGUGAAAGCAGGGGAUCUUCGGACCUUGCGCGAUUGAAUGAGCCGAUGUCGGAUUAGCUAGUUGGCGGGGUAGAGGCCCACCAAGGCGACGAUCCGUAGCUGGUCUGAGAGGAUGAUUCGCCACACUGGAACUGAGACACGGUCCAGACUCCUACGGGAGGCAGCAGUGGGGAAUAUUGGACGAUGGGCGCAAGCCUGAUCCAGCCAUACCGCGUGGGUGAAGAAGGCCUUCGGGUUGUAAAGCCCUUUUGUUGGGAAAGAAAAGCAGCAGGUUAAUACCCCGCUGUUCUGACGGUACCCAAAGAAUAAGCACCGGCUAACUUCGUG